rnacentral:snRNA from 1 species
GCAUCUUCUCGGCCUUCGUGGCUAAGAUCAAGUGUAGUAUCUGUUCUUAUCAGCUUAAUCUCUGGUAGUGAGGCCAAUGUGCCUCACGACUCAAGAUUAGACUUAUUUCUUGUGGGCGCCCUGGCACCAAGUCCCCUGCAGCUGUGCUGUGGGGCGGUCCAGGGAGCAGCGAUCGGCUUCACACUGCACACCAGUGAAGUUUUUUAAACGGUCCACCCUCC